GUUAAGAGCAUUGCCUGCUCUUCCAAAGGUCCUGAGUUCAAUUUCCAGCAACCACAUGGUGGCUCACAACCAUCUGUAAUGAGGUCUGGUGCCCUCCUCUGGCCUGCAGGCAUACACGCAGACAGAAUAUUGUAUACAUAAUAAAUAAAUAAAUAUUUAAAAAAAUAAGCGCAGUGGUUAUAAAUAUUUCCUUUGACUCUCGCUCUUUUGUACCUCCUGUCUCAGCUCUUUCUAGAGAAGCUUUUUUGAAGGCUUCUGUGGUUGUGAUGGGUGUUACAUGUAGAAACACGUGUGCUGACGCUCUGCUUUCCGCUCUCUGGUCACCUUUAUGCACCUGGGAUGCCUCCUCCACUUUUCUUUUAAUAGAGGGAGGCAUCGUAAAUUGUGAACACCAUCUGUUAGGUCAGAAUUUACUGCCUGGCUUCAGAGCAUCGAUUUACAACUGCCUUCAAUUUUCAGAAUCUUUUUCUGUUGAAUGAGCUGUUUGAGUUUUAGUUGAGUUGGUAACAUUGCUAAUGAUUGUGGUGCUUCAUUUGGUGGCCAUUGCUUCCUUUACCUUUAAGCUCUUCAUUUUCAAAGCUGCUGGUGAGGAGGGAGAACCGCAAAGUGAGACCGGUACAUAACUCAUCAGUGAUUGCCCACAGAGCACUCGGAAAGCCUGGCAAAAGUUACUUGAAGUUGUGUUGCCCUUCCCUGUUUGGGGAGCUUAGCAUUGUAGUUCUCUUGGGUGUUUGAAUGGGGAAUGUGUACUGACUGAAGUGCAUCCUGUAGACUGCUACUCUUUGCUCAACUCAGUUUGAGUUAUAAAGCCUAAAUUUGCAUUAGGUUGUCAUCUUUUUAAAUAUGAUUCAAAUAUGAGUAUUUUAGGCAUAAUAGCAUAUGCCUAUAAUCCCAACCCUCUGGAAGCUGAGGCAGGAGGAUCUUGAGUUUAAGGCCAUCUUGGACGACACAGAAAGACCCUAUUUCAAAUUUUUUUUUUAAAAAAGUAAGUCUGGUGGUGGUAUUCUGUGCCUCUAAUACCAGCACUUGGGAGGCAGAGGCAGGUGGAUCUCUUGAGUUCCAGGACAGCCUGGUCUGCAGAGCAAGUUCCAGGAUAGCCAGGCUACAUAGAGAGAUGCUGUCUCAAAACAGUAAAAAAGCAAACCAGAAUGUGUUCUGCAUUGCACUUGCCCUGCUCUCUGGGAUGUGGACGUUGUAUGGCAUACAGUUGACAGAAGGACCUCAGGUAAGGUCUCUUAGACUGCAAUGCUGAUGUUAUAGCACCUGGCCUUAUCCCACAUCACUUACAAUCUCAAAACCAGGUUAAUGUACAUGGAUACAAGGGGCUCCCCAAUUCUGUGGUUCUAGUUUAUUUUGAGGUGUUGAAGAUGGAUGUAUGUACCUGCUGUGAUAUGACCCACAUUUUUUCACUGGCAGGUGCUGCAGGCCCACGGCUCUUUACCAUACACCAGAUUGAUGCCUGCACGAACAACUUGCCAAAAGCCCACACUUGCUUCAAUCGAAUAGACAUUCCGCCCUAUGAAAGCUAUGAAAAGCUCUAUGAAAAGCUGCUAACAGCCAUCGAAGAAACAUGUGGAUUUGCUGUGGAAUGAUGAGCGCCAAGGACUUAACCUAGAACUCUUAUUUAUCCCCGGGCCGACAGCCUCCUUCAGCAGCGCUUCAGAGAACGCUGGAAUACAGGGCAGCCCCCUCCCCUGCCCCUUAGAUUCUAGGACACUGAGGGGAAAGGACAGUUUUGAAAUUCCUUUUCAAGGAAAAAUAAAGGUCUUUAUGCUUUGCCAUGAGGACACACUCAGCUGCUAUUUAAAAAUUAAUACCUUGAACCUAAAGAAUGCUGACUCCCUGCGUUUCCAGAGUUAGGCAGUAUUCUACACUUAAAGACUACUACUAUUUUUAUAAAAGGUUAUCUAUCCAAAUUGCUUCACAGACUCGCGUCUCUUCGCACAGCAAGACAACUCCAGCAGUCGGUACACAUCACAUUUCAUUUUGACUGAAUACAUGAUUUUUGAACAGCUCCUAUACUUGCUCUUUGUAAAACCUAAAUAAAAUUAUUUUGAAUUGUUCCACCUUUGUAAACAAUUGGCUAAAGGAAUCAUUACCUUUAUGAAAUUAAGCCAUUUACAUGUUUAGUUGUGUUUUUCUAUAGCAGAGUGUUAUAUUUUGCAUUAUGUGUGGGUCACCCUAGCUUAGGUGGGGUUUUAUAUUUUUCAAGUGUGACUUUCUUGGAAAUUCCUAAUACAACCAUUUAAACUGAAUUUAUUUGCUAUCCUCCCUGUUUUUAAGACUAGCUUUUUAAAAAGAAAAAAAUCUUCAUGUUCUUGAAUCAAGAGGAUCGGGUAUUUUGGAUUUACUUUCAUCUUAAAUUGAAAUACUGCAUUUUUAUAGCUUCUCUGCAUGUGAUGGGGUUUUCAUUCUUUGCUGGGUCAGCUUGUCUUUUAUAUGCUAUUUCUAUAAACCAAAGUCUCUAAUAAGUACAUCUAACUUAUAUUUUAAUUAAGUUUCUAAAAGGAAAAUUUUUGCUCUAAAGAUUGUUUAGCUUAGAGAGCCCUGCUAUUACCUCACUGGAAGAACUGGAGGUGGCAGUGGGCAUGGUGGGCAGGGAAUGUUGUACAUGAGUGAAGUCAGGUGUGCUGGCCAUGCCUGUGAUCCUGCUCCUGGGAGGCUGAGGCAGGGGGAGUAGUUCAAGUUCAAUGCCAGCCUGAGCUACAUAGCAGAUCUUGCCUCAAGUGAGAGUGACUCUAAGUCUAUUGUACAAUUUACUCUAAAACUGAAGAGUUCAUUUAGAAGUAAGGGAGUGGAGCCCUGGCUGCCACAUUGCUGACUUCCAAGCGUUCAGGUUGAGUUUUUAAGGUGUGUGGCUCAUCCCAUGAUCCAGAAGGUAACCAAAAUUCUGGGGUGAGGGAUGGUAACCAUCUAAAAUCACAUUGGAUUUUAAAUUCAACCAUCCAAAACAACGCACUAUUAUUUUUAAACAUGAUGUAAAAUAAAAAUAGAAAAUUUUGAUGAGCUUGGACACAAGGACAUGAAGAACACUUGAUAGAAAUUGUGACUAAGCCUGGUGACUGACACCUGUAAUCCUAUCAUUGAGGAGGCAGAGGCAGGAGGAUGAGGAGAUCAAGACCAGUCUGGUCUACAUGGGUUUGAGGCUACUUUGAGACCCUGUCUCCAGGGGGAGAGGACCACAACUGACUGGGAUGCAGUGAUAAUGAGAUGCUACUUUUAGUGGUUUUUCCAUGCAGUGUAAAGCAGGCAAAUCCCAUCUCUUUGAGUGCCUUUUAACUUUAUAACAAUGACUUGACAAGAGCUUUAAAGGAGAUCACCCUAUGUAACAGUCUGCAGUAGCACAUGACAUCCGAAAACAUGAUUUAGAUUUCAAUUUCAAAAUUACAUUACCUGAUUACUUCCAAAUAGGUGCUAAGCCAACAAAAAAAAAAAAAAAAAACACCAGUGUCGUUGAAC